AAUACGAAGGGGGCGAGCGUUGUUCGGAAUUACUGGGCGUAAAGGGCGCGCAGGCGGUCCUUCAAGUCAGAUGUGAAAGCCCCGGGCUCAACCUGGGAACUGCAUUUGAGACUGGAGGACUCGAGGACGGGAGAGGAGAGUGGAAUUCCCAGUGUAGAGGUGAAAUUCGUAGAUAUUGGGAAGAACACCGAUGGCGAAGGCAGCUCUCUGGACCGUUACUGACGCUGAGGCGCGAAAGCGUGGGGAGCAAACAGGA
rnacentral:rRNA from 1 species